UACGUAGGGUGCGAGCGUUAAUCGGAAUUACUGGGCGUAAAGCGUGCGCAGGCGGUCUGUUAAGACCGAUGUGAAAUCCCCGGGCUUAACCUGGGAACUGCAUUGGUGACUGGCAGGCUUUGAGUGUGGCAGAGGGAGGUAGAAUUCCACGUGUAGCAGUGAAAUGCGUAGAGAAUGUGGAGGAACACCGAUGGCGAAGGCAGCCCCCUGGGUCAAGAUUGACGCUCAUGCACGCAAGCGUGGGGAGCAAACAGG
rnacentral:rRNA from 1 species